GGUGGAAAUAUAAGCACAUGUAGUAUCGCUUUCUUGUACCAGGAACAUCAGAGCCGAUCCGUGUUCUGUUCUUUUUCUUUUUCUUUUCUUCUUUCCCCCUUUUAUCCUUACACUGACUUCUUUUUCAGAAAAGAGGGAAAGAAGAAAUCAAAAUUGAAUGAUUCACCAGGGGAUAAAAUUUUAAACAAUGGAAGCCUACUUUGCACUUACCCUGUUUGUUUUUCUUUUUAAUGGUGUGGCUGCUGAUGAUGUGAUAUCAAUCUCAGUUAUGCAGGAAAAUUCAGUUGCUUUGUCCUCUGAUGUUACCAAACAACAACGUGACAAGAUGCUGUGGUAUUUUAAUGACACUCUGAUAGCUCUGAUCAAUGGAGAGCCCAGUAAAAGUUGUCUGUAUUAUGGUGAAGGUGAGAUCUUCAGAGACAGACUAAAGGUGGACUAUGCAACUGGAUCUCUGACCAUCACAAACACCAGUCCUGAACACUCUGGGCGUUAUGAAGCCAAUUUCAUCCAAAGCAAGAGCUCAGGAACCAGCCAAAGCUUGAACCGAAACGGCAAGUGUGACAGCACAAAAAUCAUCAAAAAAACGAGCAACAUUGGCGACAGCGUAAAAACAUUCAGUGUUUCUGUCACUGCUUCUCUGUCUGAUCCAGUCAACAUCAAUGAAGAAUUGUUCAAUAUGGAGAAGGAGCAAGAGUCUGAAGAGAAUUCAGAACGGUCUUUAAUUCUUGUAGCAGUAAUAUGUGCUGGUGCUGGUUUUGUUCUGAUGCUGGCUGUAGUUGGUGUUGGUGUGAUGAUCUAUCGCCGCAGGAGCUCUAAUAAAGAAGACAGAAAGAUAAACUCAUCUGAGCAUCUGCUGAAAGUCCCAAUAUGAGAAAGAGAGAGGUCGCUUUGUCUAAGAGCAUCUCAACUGGAUCAGCCCAAAUAUUAUUUAUGAUUUAGUCACAAUUAGCCUCUUUAUUGUCUUUAUUUCUUCUUCUUCUUCUUCUUCUUUUCUUCUUCCCUUAAAGUGUGGCCAAAAAUCAUAAACUUGGCAGGAUGGUCCCAGUCGUGCACCGCUACUCAGCCCAGACGCACAUCCGUCCGAUACUAGGUGGCGCUAUAACAAGCUGAACAGUAUGGGCAUGAUUUCUUUGGAAGUGUGCUGCUGUAACCUCUCUCAUCAAACCCGAUCACCGAAGAUUCAAGAUGGAUUUUGCUGUAAAAGCCACACCAUUAGACACAUCUCAACAGGAUCGCUAAUCAAACGAGAACAAAUCAAACUUGGGCCUUUGGUGCUUGUACCUCUGUGAUUGCUGCGUGUGGCUAUAUUAUAUCUUUAUGCCCUUAUUAGCAGUCCAAGCACAGCAUAGUGUUUGUGGAAGAGAUUUGUCGUUAGUUGUUUGAUGAAGGUUGAGAUGAUCUCAGCAGAUCAGAUGGAGGUUGAAUGCAGUGUUGGUGAAAGUUACUUUUAAAAGUAAUGCGUUACAAUAUUGUGUUACUCCAUAAAAAGUAACUAAUUGUGUUACUUAGGUACUUUUUAUGGAAAGGCCCUCUCAUGCCAAAAGUGAAAUGAUUAAGCCUCAGACUGAAUGAAAUGCCUUUUCCUCUGCGCCUCACUCCCAAUUUCUCUCAAUAUGGGGACAGGAGAGCUGUCGGUCAACAAAUGGGAAAACAAACUUAGGCUACUUAUUUCAAAAAGUAACUGUGAUAUUUGCUUCGUCUGUGAAGUGACUUUGUGCCCCAUUUUGAUUGAACCACUAGGUGGCGGAAUUUACUUUAGUGGCUAUUGAAAUAAUAUAGAUAUUUCUACUUCAUUUCUAUUUAUUUACACAUAAUCUGUUGAUAGUAGUCUUGCUGAAAUUAUACAAUACAUGCUUGUGAUUAUUAAAAAGAUGAAAUAACCUGCAUAGACUCAAUUCAGUUCACUGAUGUAAAUUAUUGAAUACGGUGAAUGGUACCAUCACAAUGAGGACACAAAUUCACUGUUCAGAACUUUCAUUGGGUCUCAACAUUUGAAAAGAUUUUUCUUUGUUGUUAUUUGCAUCUCUGUACUAAUCUAUUCUAGGCCACUUGUUAUGCAGCACUUUAUCGCAGAGCACGACUGUCGCUUCUGGAAGUUAAAAAUCCUUUUACUUUUCUUCACAGGGCAAUUGAUUUUUAGCUAUUCUGCACAGACCUUCAAGACAGACCAACCACAGACCCACAGUAGCAAAAUUUAAACGGACACACACUACUCACAAUCACGUCUGCGUUGUUUAAAUGCUGUAAAAGUGAACAUUUGUUGUACACCAAAUAAGAGCUGUAAAAAGCUCCCUCAUGAUCAUAUCUAUUCGUCUAUAUGACAAAUCUACAAAAACACAAACAAACAAACAAAGACUAUAAUAGUAAGUUUGGGAUAAAUUGCCACUUCGGAAUGGCUGAUGUCUUCAUUAUUGAAUUGUAUUUCUGUUUAUGUAAUUAUAAUUAAUUGAGAUAUUAUGCAAGUAGGCUACAGACAGUAUUAAACAUCAUUCUUCAUAACCAUCAGUUACGCCACAGACCAACUAAGUGCAAUUAUUCAGCCUGAAUUUAUAGCUUAUUGUCAUUAUAAUAACACCGGUUUAAUUAAAAAAUAUAGAUCUAUAUAUGAUUCAUAUGUUUUUCAGUUAAGAAGGUGCUGUUCCGUUUUCAGACUCAGUUUUGUUGGCAUAGGCAAUAUUUCUACAUUUGUAUUUUCAAAGCUUUUGCAGUGCUGCAGCAUACAGUUAAAGAAGUGAAAAAAUACAAUUCUGCAAAGCAACAUAAAACACAAAAUUAUGAAAAUAAGAAAAUAUAUUGACAAAGAAAGAUGAAAUGAAUGGCAGCAUAGAGAAUAGAAGGAAAUAUUAAAAACUACUCAUCGUUUUAGCCACUAGAUGCAAACAUUUUUUUUUUUUUUUUUUUGAUCCAAGAGAGCAAAGCAUUGGUAAGAAAAACUUCAAAUCACUGAAUAAUACCUUAAGACCACAUUAACUUUAAAAUGUAAUUAUGUUUCUUUUCUCGAAUAGUGUUGUUUGUUUGUUUUUUCCAAAUAAAAUUGAAAAUCCUUUAUAAGUUACCUAUACCU